rnacentral:rRNA from 1 species
AAGAAUUUAAAAGUCGAACAGACUUAAAAUUUGAAUGGCUGCACCCAAAAUUAUAUCUUAAUCCAACAUCGAGGUCGCAAUCUUUUUUAUCGAUAUGAACUCUCCAAAAAAAUUACG